rnacentral:miRNA from 1 species
AGGGAAGGGGACGAGGGUUGGG